CUGUUUCCAUUUGGGGGUGAUUUUGAAUAGCUGCAGCUGCUUUCAACAACGAUCCCUGUGGGCUGAGGCUGCAGCAUGUGGAGCUGGGGUCAUCCUUGCCUGGCCGUGGAAAGCGAGAAGAGAAACACCCGCGAUCCUGAGCCCUCCUGGAUGAGCAGGGAAGAGGCAAUCUUUUCAUAACCACCCAGGUGGAGAUACCGGCUCUGCUGUCCCCAGGUGAGUAAUUGCACAGCUGAUUCACCUCAGGGGAGGCACGAUGGGACGGAGGGAAAGAAAUGUCGCAUGCCUGGGAACCUGGGAUUCUGCUGCACUGGAAGAUUAGGAGAAAAGCAUCCCAAGUGCUGGCAGGAAACCUUCUUCUGAGUCCCUUUGCUCGAAGGAGGGCACUUUCUCUGCAGUCACUCUGGGUAAACCACUCCUGGAAGGCAGCGGGUUAGAGCCCAUGCCAGGUGGGAGCAAGGAGCAGGGAACAGUUUGGGCUCCCUGGCCAGCCUCCCUAAAGGCCUCUGAUCCCCUCGUGCUGUGGACUGGCGCCCUGGCCUCCCAUGGCAUGAUUAGCCGGGACACCCCAACAGCUAGGCUUGGGGUUAGGCUGACCUGAGUGACCAUUUAAUGGUGCCAGCCAGUUCAAGUGUUUGACUUCCUGAAAUUUGCAUCGAUGUUCAAAAAAUAUCCUAAGAGGUGAGCGGAUGACCCUGGCACAUAAGUACCUAGCACAGAAUCGCCUAGAGUAGACGUGAAGAGCCACCAUGAGCUAAUGUGAUGUGUGCUGAUGCAUGUCCCCAGGAACCAUGGGCCUCAGGGCAGCCCGGGUGGCUCAGCGGUUUAGUGCCUACUUCAGCCCAGGGUGUCAUCCUGGAGACCCGGGAUCGAGUCCCACGUCGGGCUCCCUGCAUGGAGCCUGCUUCUC